UACGUAGGGUGCAGGCGUUAAUCGGAAUUACUGGGCGUAAAGCGUGCGCAGGCGGUUUCUUAAGUCAGAUGUGAAAGCCCCGGGCUUAACCUGGGAACUGCGUUUGAAACUGGGAGACUAGAGUGUGGCAGAGGGGGGUGGAAUUCCACGUGUAGCAGUGAAAUGCGUAGAUAUGUGGAGGAACGCCGAUGGCGAAGGCAGCCCCCUGGGUUAACACUGACGCUCAUGCACGAAAGCGUGGGGAGCAAACAGG
rnacentral:rRNA from 1 species